rnacentral:tRNA from 1 species
GCCUGGGUGGCUCAGUCGGUUGAGCGUCUGACUUCUGCUCAGGUCAUGAUCUCGCAGUUCGUGAGUUCAAGCCCUGUGUCAGGCU